rnacentral:misc_RNA from 1 species
AAGUCGUAACAAGGUUUCCGUAGGUGAACCUGCGGAAGGAUCAUUAUCAAUUUAACAGUUCGUGGGAUAGACGCUCGUAAGGCUACCCUUCCCACGCUGUUUCAACCCUUUGUCUUUUGCGUACUGUAUGUUUCCUCGGCGGGUUCGCCCGCCGAUAGGACACUUCAAAACCUUUUGUAAUUGCAAUCAGCGUCAGAAAAACUAUAAUAGUUACAACUUUCAACAACGGAUCUCUUGGUUCUG